CCGGAAGCGGGCGGCGCGGCGGGAAAGGCGGCAGGUUACCGGUGAUCGGUUACCGGUGAUCGGUAAUCGGUUACCGGUGAUCAGUAAUCGGUUACCGGUCAUCGGAGCCGGUGCAAAGAAACACAAAGAUAAGGAAGCUGCAAAUUAGCAAGAAAACCAGAGUGGGCAGCCUGGAAGGACAAGAACUACGUGGGCACAGGGCUGGGUUUGUGCAGAAAUAAGGGUCAGCUGGUGGACACAGGGAAGAAGACUACAAGCCUUCAUCUGAAGACCCUCUACGACCACCUGCAACCUGCAAGAGACGUUAACAUAUGCUAAUGGUUCCCAGAAGCGUUAUGAAGAUGGUAAAAAUAGGAUAAAAAUGUAAUUAAUAUGUAUGAUUAAGGUAGUAUAAAUGCUUGUUGGUUUUGUUUCCAGACACACACAUGAGGAGGAGCUCUCCCCUGUGUGUCCGGCGCUGCAAUAAAGAAUGCCUGCCUUCUAAAACUCCAAAAUUGAGUCUUUGAGAGUGAAUUAAUUACCGCUUCCCGAUAGCAUCUCCAGCCGGCUGCCGGCACCCGCCCGGGCCCUGCGGCUGGGCAGCGCGCCGGGAAACGAAGCGUCUCCAAACCGAGCGAGAAAUGGGCUGUCACCUCCCGGAGGAGCUGAGGCUCGGGGGCAGAGCCGUUUGCUGCGGCCUCCUUCCUUCCUCCGCGGCAGAAAGCGAAGAUUAAAGCUGGAGAAAUAAAAGUGAAAUUAUUUUUAUA